rnacentral:rRNA from 1 species
GACGAACGCUGGCGGCGUGCUUAACACAUGCAAGUCGAACGGAAAGGCCCUGCUUUUGUGGGGUGAUCGAGUGGCGAACGGGUGAGUAACACGUGAGUAACCUGCCCUUGACUUUGGGAUAACAUAAGGAAACUGGGGCUAAUACCGGAUAGGAGCUCCUGCUGCAUGGUGGGGGUUGGAAAGUUUCGGCGGGUGGGGAUGGAUGCGCGGGUUAUCAGCUUGUUGGUGGGGGAGUGGCAUACCAAGGGAUUGACGGGUAGCCGGCCGGGGAGGGUGACCGGCGACAUUGGGCCUGAGAGACGGCCCAGUGUCCUACGGGAGGCAGCAGUGGGGAAUAUUGCACAAUGGGCCGAAGUCUGAUGCAGCGACGUCGCGGUCGGGAUGACGUCCUUCUGGGUGUAAACCGCUUUCGCCUGUUACGAAGCGUGAGUGACGGUAAUGGGUAAAGAAGCACCGGCUAACUACGUG